UCUUUAAACUAGGUUAUGAAUCUUUUAGUAGAAGUAGAAUUAGAUUUAAGAGUAAUAUUUUAAUUAUGUAUGAGAAAUAGAAAUUUUCACUGUGAUUCUCAUUUCUCAUAAGUAGUAGAAAAUUCUUAGAUUUGAAAAGUAAGGAUCAAUGUUUACAAGAAUUGCUCAAGUCUUUUCAGUAGUAGAAUGAUAGGAUUAUUUGGUCUUCCACCGCGUUGUAAUAAAAUAUGAAGAACAGGGGAUUAUGUGUGAAGUGGUAAUGUAGAUUCUAGGUUGAUGAGAUAGUUUUUAUGUAUACUUUGUUGAUAGUUAACCAACACUUAGAUGUGGCUCUGAUUCCCUAAUCGUUUAGGGAUACGUAGGACCAGGGAUCCUCCCUGUCGAGCUAUAAUUUUAGUAACUCUACAUUUUAAAUAAGUGUAUUUGUUAUAGUGUAUAGGUUAUAUAGCUAGUGUAUUAGGCUUGCACGGGCUGAAUAUAUGAUGAGUUAGUGUUAGCCUGUGCGCCGGUCAUGAUCUGAGAUUGGGUCGUGACAGUAGUUUUUAUAAACUAAUUAUUCUGGUUUUUAUCGGUGCAAUUGAAUUUACAGCUAGAUAAUGUCUGAACUUAAAAUCGAAUCUAUUUGGACUGGAAUUCGGUAUAUGUUACAAAACGUUCGUAAUGUUUGUUGAAUUUGAGUCUCUAACCUUCUUUUUUCUUUGUAAUACCUGUACUUCUGCAUAAUAAUAAUAAUUAUAAUCUUACAAAACUUAACUGUUUUAGAAUGAUAAACUUAAGAUUUAAUUGCCAAGACUUGAAUUGUACACAACAGGUACAAGCUUGGCGCUUAAGUGAUGCAAGCUGAUAAUUACUUAAAUUGUUCUUGUGGCUACAUUAAAUUAUUGUGUAAUGUGUAUUUUAGAACCUUAAAGAGAAGUAUUGAAAACUUUCAAAGUGUUUGGUUACUAGGAACAAGGCUUAGAGUUUAGAACUUGAAUGAUUUGUAGAAAGCAAGCAUGAUUCUGUUUUCAAUAUAAUUACUGAUUUUUCAGUUUUGGAUGAGUAUUUAUCCUUAAUUUUGGUAUAUAUUAUUUAUGGAAGGCCAAAUGCAUUCAGAGGUCCUUUAAGUUUUACGUUUGUAACAGAUAUGUCCUUUAAAUUUUGUAGGUAACAAAUAGGUCCUUUAAGUUUCUAAUUUAUUGCACCGUUACCGUUCAAUUUAUUCUCCGUUACAAAACACUGAAGUAACUUAGCGAGAUGGUAGUGAACACUACGUUUUGGCUUCCAAAUAACAAGAAGCAGUGUUUUAGUGCCAUCUUACUAAGUUAACGGUUAUGUCAGCGCUUUUGUAACGGGGGCUGGAAGUGUAACGAUGCAAUAAAUUAUAAACUUAAAAGGACCUAUUUGUUACCUAAAAAACUUAAAGGACCUAUUUGUUACUUAAUAAACUUAAAUGACCACCCACUUGGGGUGGUCUAGUGGUGUUGGCUUUGGACCUAUUCUCCUGAUGUUUUCACUUAUAGUACUUUAAUUAGUGGUUUUUGCAUUGUCGGUAAAUUGAAAGAAGCAAUUGAUUUGUUUAACAAAAUGGUUCUGGAAAACAUCAACCCGAAUAUGUAUACCUUUAAUAUACUGGUUGAUGCUUUUCUAAACGCUGCAAACUUAUGAAAUAAUUAUCUGUUCUCUGUUUAAUAAAGAUGAAAAUGAUAAGGCAGAGAAACUUCUACGUGAAAUUGUCGCGAAAGGUCUACUGUAAGAUUGAAACUAGGUAAAAUGGUUCUUUUGUUACACAUUGUUAUUUUGAUUUUAUAUUUCAAUUUUUUGGUUAUGACCUUUGGUAGGAUCUUACAGCACUGUCCCUUUGCUAAGAUUCAUUUUAUAAUUGUACCUGGAGUCAGGACCGUUCUCAAAUGUAACUUACCAGAUUCUGGGAAGGUACAAUCUAUCAUCAGCGCCGCCAACCCGUUCACCACUCCUUUCAACACCAAGUUCGCUACGCGCUUAUUGAUCUUGACCGUACACCUCACGCGCCACCCAAUCAUCUUUCUCCUGAUGAAGCUCGUCAAAUUACUGAUACCAAUGGACCCAUGUAAUUUAAAUUCUUUAUUCUUUACAUCAGGAAUUAAUAAUGGCAUUAUAUCAGGAAUUAAAGUACUAUAAGGAACUUUGGUAGGUUUUAUAUCAGGAAUUAAUAAUGGCAUUACGGAGAAACUUUUCGCUACUAUAGAAAGUGAAUUGGGACAGUGCUGGUUUAAGUGAAACUUUGACUUUGUGAUUUCUCAAGUAAGUUAUCAAUAUUUUUUGCCA